rnacentral:pre_miRNA from 1 species
AGACACCCUUCUGGGGCAAGACUUGCUUCAGUGGGGCUUUGGUGCUCACUGAGUCUGCCCCCUAAGUGUGUUCCU